AGAGUUUGAUCCUGGCUCAGGACGAACGCUGGCGGCGCGCUUAACACAUGCAAGUCGAACGGAGCUGAGAGGAGCUUGCUUUUCUCAGCUUAGUGGCGAACGGGUGAGUAACGCGUGAGUAACCUGCCCUGGAGUGGGGGACAACAGUUGGAAACGACUGCUAAUACCGCAUAAGCCCACGGCCCGGCAUCGGGCUGCGGGAAAAGGAUUUAUUCGCUUCAGGAUGGACUCGCGUCCAAUUAGCUAGUUGGUGAGGUAACGGCCCACCAAGGCGACGAUUGGUAGCCGGACUGAGAGGUUGAACGGCCACAUUGGGACUGAGACACGGCCCAGACUCCUACGGGAGGCAGCAGUGGGGGAUAUUGCACAAUGGGGGAAACCCUGAUGCAGCGACGCCGCGUGGAGGAAGAAGGUUUUCGGAUUGUAAACUCCUGUCGUUAGGGACGAUAAUGACGGUACCUAACAAGAAAGCACCGGCUAACUACGUGCCAGCAGCCGCGGUAAAACGUAGGGUGCAAGCGUUGUCCGGAAUUACUGGGUGUAAAGGGAGCGCAGGCGGGUCGGCAAGUUGGAGGUGAAAGCUGUGGGCUCAACUCACAAACUGCCUUCAAAACUGCCGAUCUUGAGUGGUGUAGAGGUAGGCGGAAUUCCCGGUGUAGCGGUGGAAUGCGUAGAUAUCGGGAGGAACACCAGUGGCGAAGGCGGCCUACUGGGCACUAACUGACGCUGAGGCUCGAAAGCAUGGGUAGCAAACAGGAUUAGAUACCCUGGUAGUCCAUGCCGUAAACGAUGAUUACUAGGUGUGGGAGGAUUGACCCCUUCCGUGCCGCAGUUAACACAAUAAGUAAUCCACCUGGGGAGUACGACCGCAAGGUUGAAACUCAAAGGAAUUGACAGGGGCCCGCACAAGCAGUGGAGUAUGUGGUUUAAUUCGAAGCAACGCGAAAAACCUUACCAGGUCUUGACAUCCGACGCAUAGCUCAGAGAUGAGUGAAGUCCUUCGGGACGUCGAGACAGGUGGUGCAUGGUUGUCGUCAGCUCGUGUCGUGAGAUGUUGGGUUAAGUCCCGCAACGAGCGCAACCCUUAUCGUCAGUUACUACGCAAGAGGACUCUGGCGAGACUGCCGUUGACAAAACGGAGGAAGGUGGGGAUGACGUCAAAUCAUCAUGCCCUUUAUGACCUGGGCUACACACGUACUACAAUGGCCGGUACAGAGGGAUGCCACCCCGCGAGGGGGAGCGGAUCCCGGAAAGCCGGCCCCAGUUCGGAUUGGGGGCUGCAACCCGCCCCCAUGAAGUCGGAGUUGCUAGUAAUCGCGGAUCAGCAUGCCGCGGUGAAUGCAUUCCCGGGCCUUGUACUCACCGCCCGUCA
rnacentral:rRNA from 1 species